AUACGGAGGAUGCGAGCGUUAUCCGGAUUUAUUGGGUUUAAAGGGUGCGCAGGCGGCACGUCAAGUCAGCGGUCAAAAUGCGGCGCUCAACGCCGUACCGCCGUUGAAACUGGCGGGCUCGAGUGCGUGGGAGGCUGGCGGGAUGCGCGGGGGAGCGGGGGAAUGCAUAGAUAUCGCGCAGAACCCCGAUUGCGAAGGCAGCUGUCCAUCACGCCACUGACGCUCAUGCACGAAAGCGUGGGUAUCGAACAGGAUUAGAUACCCUGGUAGUCCACGCGGUAAACGAUGAUAACUAGUUAUCCGGCCCAAUUGCGGGCUGGGUGACCGAGCGAAAGCGUUAAGUUAUCCACCUGGGGAGUACGCCGGCAACGGUGAAACUCAAAGGAAUUGACGGGG
rnacentral:rRNA from 1 species